rnacentral:lncRNA from 1 species
UCCUAGCAACUGUGUUGUGAAAAUGAAAUUGAUAUGAUGCACAACUAGUUCAUAUUAUUGAUACAUCUUGAAAAUACACCCAGCUCUCUGAAGAUGAUUGUUUUGAGUCUGAUUUAGGAAAGUGUUUAAGGGAAUAACACUCUUUACCCUCCCCCAGAUUGAGUUGGAGUGCAUUUCUAGUGAGGAGCCUUAAGCCUGAGGCAGAUGCUGGAAGACGUGGGACUGCAUCUGACCAAGAAUCAACAAAUGACGGACUCGAUGUAUGUGCAACAUUGCCACCCACCCUUGGAAAGAUUUAUGAGUUGAACAUUAAGUCCUAUCCAGUGUUCCAGUUGAACACUUCCAAGCAGUUGGAUAAGAAUUGCAGUUAAAAGGAUUGAAUAUGCGGAUGGAUAGAAUUGAUGCAUCACCAACCCAUGUGUCAACUUUCCAACCAAGAUGGAAAUAGAUUUUUAAAGAAUCAGAACAUUACUAAUUUUAAUAUCUAAAGUGAACCCUAAAACUAUUAUUUCCUAUGUUCACAAGUCCUCGGCAUUUCUCUAACUUUAUCAUGUCUGCAAGUAAUGAAUAUAGUAUUGAAUUUUUUUAGAACCAGUUUCUUUAGAAGAAACUGGUCUUUAAUAAACAAGAGAAUGUUUA